UGCGGCCGUUUGCUCGGGCUGUGGGGUGAAGCCGCCCUUGGGUCGCUGGGGGCUCCCGGUGCGGGGACGGGGAGGCGGUGUCCGGAGGCGCUGGGAGCUUUCGGUCAGGCGGGGUGCGAGGCUGUACCAGGUGUCGUCGAGCUCCGGUAUCCGUUUGUCAGGGGCAUGCGGUGACAAAAACGCAGUGUAGUGCGCGAAGCGGCAGAAACACCUCGGAUGGUUGCAUUCCUCCUGCUGUCGGCCGGAUCCUUCUCUUUAACUCUUUAUUUGGACAAGAUAACGUGUUUAAUUUCAGGGUUUGGUUUACGACAGACUUCAACCAUUAAACAUCGUCAGAUCAGAACACAGGCACUUCUGUUUCUGAUUGCUGUGCAUAACCUCAGAAGAGAUAAUGCCUAAUUUUUGUUCACUAUCGACACUGACCGAUUGCUGAAAAGUGGAAGAUAGGGGUUUUAAGCAUACCUUAUUCUGGAAGGAGUUGCUUUUGAGCCUUCUAGGUGUAACGUACUUCAGGCAGCACAGCAGCCGUGUGAGAAGGAACAGGUGUGAUAAUUCUCUCAGGUUUUUAGCCUUCCCCUCUACAUCCUGAUCACGCAAAGGUUAGUGAAGUCACUUAUCCCUCUGGCUACAGACAGAUCUUGGUACCACUGGAGAUGUUUGUCAGAGGAAGUUUCUGUGCCAGUGUGGACCACAAACAAGUAGAGAAGCAUUUGGAGAGAUUUCUCCAGCAUCUUCCAAAACAUGAAGUAUUUUGCUUCUCCUCUGGAAAAAUUACACGGUAGAACAAAAUUAGGAAGAAGGCUCUCACAUCCUCUGCAACAUUGCCUCAGCAAAGCCAGCCUGGUGGGCCAUGCGCAGAAAACAGCCAAGCAGUAAGACUGAGAUUGUAUUGACAAGAACAAGAUGAAUGGCCCCCUGGAGACUACAGGGUUUGUAUGCUAGUUUCCACCACCUUUUCAUCCUUUUGUACCCCCUUUCAGUUCAUAUGCAGAUUAACUCAGACGAAGUCCUCACUAAAUACUCUUUCUCAUUUUAGUUUUGGAAAGUAGAUGGAGGAUCUAAAUAUUUAUGAGGCUUUUUUCCUCUGGUUUAUGAUGCACUCUUGUUGAAUGUUGAGGAAUUACGUUAAUGAAUGCAUGCCUGCACACACAGACACAGAAACCAGGCAAAAGGAAAAAAAACACACAAAGCGUUGUCAGCCCUAAUGUCGGCACUUACUAAACAGUUCCCAUGAAAAAAAAAAAGCAAAGAGAUUUGAAAUCUGUUGCCAGGAGAAAAAUAAAUUGUACAGCUGAGCACAAAAGAAAAGAACAAAGUUUCAUCUUUGCUUUCCUCAGCUGCAAAUGUAACUCAUUUCAUCUGAGAAUAAAUUUGAAAUAAAACAUGUUAAUUGAAAAAUUAAAGCUUGUCAAAAAAAAUCUUAACUGGAUUUGUGUUUCCAGUAAUGAAAAGGCAAAGCUUCAGUGCCGUACAGAGUUUCCUUUAACGUCACGAGCAAUAAACAUGCAUUUUUUUUUUUUUUGUAUGAUACAAGGUGCAGGUAAGUAAUCACGGUUACAAGUCAAGUGAUUAAAUGAAGCUUUCUGCUAUGGUUUUGAUGAUUUUAGUUGAUUUAUUUAGGAGGAGGUUUAGAUAUUGUGAGACUGGGGGGCGGGGCUGGAAACUACACUAUAUAUUUUUAAAUUAAAUAUAGGGUAUACUGAGGCUACGGCAAGAUAUACUAGAAUAUGAUUUUAUUUUUAACAUAGCUCAAAAUUGUAAAUUAAACUUUUUUUAUAGAUGAAAGAAUAUAUCGCAUUAAAAUGCUAGAACUGAAAUAGACAUAGUUCUUUUAAUAUCACACUUUGAAGAGUCUUAUUUUCAAACCUUAAUCAUCUCUACCCUUCUGUUAGCCCCUUUUUCCCCCUCUGAUGCAUGCUUAGCUGUGGUAAACAAGGCCCUGCUGUAGAAGUGAGACAGCAAUUCUACAAUUUCCUUUCACAAUCAUGAACCGGAACAUGAGGAUUUUAAAAUGUGCUUUUGUGCUAUCAUUUAAAAACUUACUGAAGCAACUGCAGAAUGUUAACUCUUAGUUUUAAGUGCAAUAGUAGUUCACUGUCUAGUCUGGUUUUGAUUUUUAUAAUAAGCCUAUCUAAAUUUGAUAAAACAUUGCCCUAAUAAAUAUGUUCAGAUUUUUAUUGUACUUUGGUUUUGGGUUGUUCAAUUUCAUAUGUAAUUAAAUCCAAUAAAGCAUCUACAUUUCAUUUAU